AUUUGUCGGCAUUGCAGACGAUUAAAUGCGAUGGCGUUCCGUGCGCUGACUGGCAGCGCGUUUACAAGUCAAAUGCAGAACGCGAAAGGCAC
rnacentral:ncRNA from 1 species